rnacentral:tRNA from 1 species
UAGAUGGAGGCCCGCUGGUUAAGGCACUUAGCUGUUAACUAAGAGUUUGCAGGAUCGAGGCCUGCCCAUCUAG